GCAUAUCAAUAAGCGGAGGAAAAGAAACCAACAGGGAUUGCCCUAGUAACGGCGAGUGAAGCGGCAACAGCUCAAAUUUGAAAUCUGGCCCUCGGGUCCGAGUUGUAAUUUGUAGAGGAUGCUUUUGGUGCGGUACCUUCCGAGUUCCCUGGAACGGGACGCCAUAGAGGGUGAGAGCCCCGUCUGGUUGGAUGCCAAUCCUCUGUAAAGCUCCUUCGACGAGUCGAGUAGUUUGGGAAUGCUGCUCUAAAUGGGAGGUAUAUGUCUUCUAAAGCUAAAUAUUGGCCAGAGACCGAUAGCGCACAAGUAGAGUGAUCGAAAGAUGAAAAGCACUUUGAAAAGAGAGUUAAAAAGCACGUGAAAUUGUUGAAAGGGAAGCGCUUAUGACCAGACUUGGGCUUGGUUGAUCAUCCGGCGUUCUCGCCGGUGCACUCUUCCGGCUCAGGCCAGCAUCAGUUUGCUUCGGGGGAUAAAGGCUUUGGGAAUGUGGCUCCUUCGGGAGUGUUAUAGCCCACUGUGUAAUACCCUGGAGCGGACUGAGGUACGCGUUCUGCAAGGAUGCUGGCGUAAUGGUCAUCAGUGACCCGUCUUGAAACACGGACCAAGGAGUCGUCUUCGUAUGCGAGUGUUCGGGUGUCAAACCCCUACGCGUAAUGAAAGUGAACGCAGGUGAGAGCUUCGGCGCAUCAUCGACCGAUCCUGAUGUUCUCGGAUGGAUUUGAGUAAGAGCAUACGGGGCCGGACCCGAAAGAAGGUGAACUAUGCCUGUGUAGGGUGAAGCCAGAGGAAACUCUGGUGGAGGCUCGCAGCGGUUCUGACGUGCAAAUCGAUCGUCAAACAUGGGCAUGGGGGCGAAAGACUAAUCGAACCUUCUAGUAGCUGGUUUCCGCCGAAGU
rnacentral:rRNA from 1 species